UUGCCGCGGCAACGGGGAGCCCCGCCCGGCGGCGGGACGCAGGCGCCGUCUAGACCCUCGGCCUGGGCCAGGCCCGCCGGGGCAGGAGGCUCCCGCGGCCCGGCCGGGCCCCAAGGCCCCGCCUCGGCCGGGCCCUGGCCCGGGAACCUGGCAGGGUUUCCAGCGCCUCGCCUUGGCCCGGCCCCCCGCGGCCAGGCCCCCCGGGCGGGCGGGCAGGCCUCUGCGGCCCAGCCCCAGCCCCAGCCUCAGCCUCAGCCCCAGCCCCAGGCCAGGCCCUGCCUGCCCGAGGCCCCCAGGGCCGGCGGGUCCCACGGCCCAGUCAGGCCCCCCGGCACCGGCAGGUCCGCCGGCCCAGCCAACCUCCCUGGAGCCGGCAGGUCCCACGCCCAGCCUUAGCCAAGCCCCCAGCAUAGAUUUAGGCGGGAGGGGAACAAGCACCUGGGAGGAGCACGAAGAUGCCUGCAGGCCCGGGGAGCGGCUGUGGCUGGGCCGCCUGCCACCACGCUGGGAGCACGGCCUCGCCAGCAGGGACAGCUGGCGCUGAGGGAGCAGGCGGUGCUGAGUCCGGUGGUGCAAGCUUUUGCUCCAGCUUUAGUGAAGACAAACUUGCACCCAUUUGAUGAAAGUGGGUCCAAAGUCCAGCACAGACUGUUGUCCAGCUGACCAGUUUGGAUGGGCUCACUGACUGCACCAACAGCGUUUCAGGUCCGUACGGCAGCUGGGCUCUUGCUGCAACGCUCCGGACAGAAGACGCUAGCCUUGCUGUGGCAAAACCACGUUGAACUGCGAGGACUGGUUAUUUACAAACACAACCGGUAGCUGGAGGUGACCCCAUUCCCAUUCCUCCUUUCGCACCGUGCCUCGAAGGCAGCACGCCCGCGAUGAACCGCCAGGACGGGGGGGCUGGGAUCCUUUCCCCUUCUGUGCCAGCACAAAGUGACACCAGGAAGGAGAGUCAAGAGUUUCUGCUGUAUGUGCAGGCAGCAAUCACCAUGGCUGCGCUGGGACUUGUGCGUGGGCGGCUCAGGCUGCGCUGCGUGCAGGGAGGCAAGUGCUGUCCUCCCUGCGUGUGCGAGAGAUGACCUUGGGAAAGGUGGCUUCAGCCGCUGCCCUUGGACCGGCAAUAUGCUCCUUUGGGAGCGAGCCAGUAUUCUGAGGAGACAGAUAUAACCUGAUCCAGGCUUGGCCUCGCUGGGAUGUGCUCCAGCCAUGACAUCACUCACUAAUGCCACGUGUAUUUACUACCGGGGAGAGGUGCUGGAUUGGAGACUCAAAUCCCUGGUUUAUCUCCUGAGUAGGUUAUGGACAGGAAGCAGCAUUAGCAGCCCCCAUCCUGUGUCUAUCAGCCCGAGAGAAAACAGUUCUCACAGCCGACACAGCCAUCGGCCUCUGUUAUGUCUGAGAACUCCCAUCUGUUUUCAUGCUCCCUGUGAAACAGUCUUGCCACCCUUGUUUUGUCCAGAGUACUUCCAGAGUAUCAGGAAGCCACUGAACCUCCCCCCCUGCCCCACCCCAGCUUAGCUCGUACUAAUUUCAGGACAGCACUUUGCUUUGCAAACUGAGUGACUGGAUACCUGGAAUUGAGUUUCCAUUGCACCAUCCACGGACAUCAAUAAUGAAUCAAAGGACUAAAUGUAAAGCUGAAGUGGUUAGAAGGUAAUUUCAGUCUUUUUCUGAACAGAUGAAAAAUAGCUCCGUUCUAUUGCUCACCUGCAUGGCACCGUAAGCUAGGAGUCCUCUGUGCGAGGGACUGUGCAGGCCCGGGACAGAGAUGCGCAGCUGGGACUAGCUAGGAGCCCUCAGGGUGUUUCAGCGCUCUCCAGCAGCAAGCGUCUCUGGCACUGAACUAGAUGUCUUUAGAUGACUUUGUGGAUGGCAAGUCAAGGUCAAGGGCUGGAUGCUGCCCUUCAGCAUAGCAAGGCCAUAUAUCCAGGAAAGCCUACACCUCAGGAGUGAAGGACAUGCUUAAAAGACUCCACGUCUGUCCCUCAGGCACAGUGAAGCUCCUUAGCAGGGAGAGAUCUGUGCAGCAGACAGCCCUUUCUACAGGAGCCAGUCCAAACCCAUCACACCUAUUCCUCCAGGAACAGCUUGAGAUCGCUUCAAGUUUCAGUUCUUCCUGCCGCUGCUGCCAGGCACGCUUCCCUGCCUGCUCCUCGCAGCGCACAGAGAACAGUCUGGCCCUUAAACCGCUCCUUCCCGGGGGUGAGGGGGGGCUGGCCCCGUGGUGAGGCAGCCUGCAGGCUUACGGCACGACUGGGACACACUGCUACGUUAGGAACUGUCAUCUUUAAGAGUCACUUCUACAGACCAGACAGUGUAACUUUAAGACAGGUAGGUGACAGAUGGCUGUAGACAGGGGAUCACAGGGAAACAGCGAUACAGCAGCAGCGACUGAACUGUGCGUCAGGACGGCUGCCAGUCCUCGCUUACAAAUCACUAGAGAAGCAGACCAAGUGCAGGCCAGAAGGAGCGGUGCUCUGAUAGAGGGGUGCGAGUUCCUCUCAGUCUCGCUUGCCAGGGUAGAGCGGGAGGAGAGGAAUAGCUUGUAUGUAAGUCAAAGGCCACAAAUUGCUCCAUGUGAACGUCCCCUCGGACAGCUGCUGCAGUGGGCAGAGCUCAGGGGAAGCCCAGGAACUCAUCUGUGUGCAGGAGGCAGCUGGAAUCAUCUCCAAAUCCUGCAGAACGGAGGAGGUCAGUAAGCUUAGAGUGAGUAACUCUGUUGCUCUGCACCCCUCAAAUCCGUGAACAGACUAGAAACCUAAAGCACAUAAUCAGGAAUCAUAAAACCAUGCUGCUUCCCUUGCGGGCCAAGGGCAUGGGUUAGCAUGGGAGCUAAAUCUGCUUCGUGAGUAGCUGGCUCUGCCCUGUCCUAGGACCCGUGCGUGGUCCCACUUGGCUGGGCUGAUGCUGGGACUCAGCUGAUUAGACAGUGGGCUGGAUCGAGGAGCUCAGCCUUCAGAAAACUGCUGAUUGUGGUGCCAGUGAGUUAGUUUAGUCUCCCUGUUUUAUCAUGUCUUGCUCUGCAGGGUUGUGAACAACCACCUCACUUGUAAAGCAGGUGAAACCCCAGUCUGUUAUUUCUUAAUGGCAUCGCAUGCAGAAGGGCUUGUUUAAAUUGGGUUUGCCCUUUAACAAAAGAAACACAUGGGUGGCUUGAAAGUACCUUUAUUUAAGAAAAACAAGAUUGUGUGCAGAGUUAGGGAGGUUUCUGCUGCAGUGUCAAGAGCGUCAGCUGUACUCCUUGCUGGCUUUCUAAACGGCUGCCUUGUUAGCCAAACCCAUCUCCCUUCAAAAUGUUAAUAGCUGGCAACGAAAACAUGAGCCUAGCUUAAAGUAAAAGUUCUUUUAAUCAAAGUCCUUCUGAAGUUUUAUUCUCUUGGCCUCUUUGAUACGGCACUUGGCUGGUCACACAGGCUUUGCCCUGAUUUGCAACUCUAGUAGUCAUAAAUCACAGACUGUAUAAUACACUAUUAAAUACAGAUUCCCAACUUUA